rnacentral:rRNA from 1 species
GAUGAACGCUGGCGGCGUGCCUAAUACAUGCAAGUCGAGCGAACAGACGAGGAGCUUGCUCCUUUGACGUUAGCGGCGGACGGGUGAGUAACACGUGGAUAACCUACUUAUAAGACUGGGAUAACUUCGGGAAACCGGAGCUAAUACCGGAUAAUAUAUUGAACCGCAUGGUGCAAUAGUGAAAGACGGUUUUGCUGUCACUUAUAGAUGGAUCCGCGCCGCAUUAGCUAGUUGGUAAGGUAACGGCUUACCAAGUCAACGAUGCGUAGCCGACCUGAGAGGGUGAUCAGCCACACUGGAACUGAGACACGGUCCAGACUCCUACGGGAGGCAGCAGUGGGGAAUCUUCCGCAAUGGGCGAAAGCCUGACGGAGCAACGCCGCGUGAGUGAUGAAGGUCUUCGGAUCGUAAAGCUCUGUUAUUGGGGAAGAACAAAUGUGUAAGUAACUAUGCACGUCUUGACGGUACCUAAUCAGAAAGCCCCGGCUAACUACGUG